rnacentral:rRNA from 1 species
GGGGGAUAUUGCGCAAUGGGGGCAACCCUGACGCAGCAACGCCGCGUGAAGGAUGAAGGUUUUCGGAUUGUAAACUUCUUUUAUUAAGGACGAAGAUUGACGGUACUUAAUGAAUAAGCUCCGGCUAACUACGUGCCAGCAGCCGCGGUAAUACGUAGGGAGCAAGCGUUGUCCGGAUUUACUGGGUGUAAAGGGUGCGUAGGCGGCUUUGCAAGUCAGAUGUGAAAUCUAUGGGCCCAACCCAUAAACUGCAUUUGAAACUGUAGAGCUUGAGUGAAGUAGAGGCAGGCGGAAUUCCCCGUGUAGCGGUGAAAUGCGUAGAGAUGGGGAGGAACACCAGUGGCGAAGGCGGCCUGCUGGGCUUUAACUGACGCUGAGGCACGAAAGCGUGGGUAGCAAAC